CCACGGAACCCACCCCUUCGUGACCCCGCCUGUUGGUCACCUUCCACCACAACUGAGGAAGUCACCUGGGGAAGCGGACGAGGCCCUGGAGUAGCCCGAGGAGCUGCCCACCCACCAGGAACACUGGGGCAUCGCUCCCCCUUCUUUCCCUUCCCUCAAUUUGAUCCCCAUCUUCUCCCUCUGCUUCCCCAAACGUCCCACGCCCGGUGUCGUGCCCCCCGCCCCGAGCCAUGGAGCCCUCAGAAGCAGCAGACAGAGGAGACAAAGAGGCGGAGACAGAGAAAGGGACUGGCAGGCUGAGUGGUCAGUGCAUGUCAAAGCAGAGAGGGAGGCGACACCGACGUGCCGGAGGACUUCUCAGUGUCUUUAUUAAACCAACGUCCACGUGCAUCUCCAAGAGGAAGAAAUGGGAUUUGGCAUUUCCCAAGCUCCUUUCACCACAGUCUGUUUCUUGGGAAGCCUCUCAUGGGACUUGCGCUUCACCGGACAUGUUUUGGAACGGGAAAUGGACUCAUUCGAUAAAUAUUUAUUGAGCACCUACCACAUGCCAG